rnacentral:snRNA from 2 species
UUAACUCUGAUGAUUAUGUUAUAUUUAAUUACUUUUGAGUUUAAUAUCUGAUAUGUGGACCAAUGGUCCACACGAUAUUAAAUUACUUUUUUGAGAGGGAGGAGCCAUUGCAGUAGCUUGCUACUCUGCUUCUCUUGUGUCGCUAAUGCGUUGCACUAUAGCAUUAGUUUGGCGCACCCCAC